rnacentral:lncRNA from 1 species
UUCACAGUAAAGUGUAUGGCUCUAAGGGUUCCGUAUUCGAUUCCAAUUUUGCUCUAGCAUCACGGCGGUGAUAUCUUUGAGAUUGCCCCUGGCGCAUACGGCCUCCAUUGCAAACAAAGCAAGCUCUUCACGCUUUGUUUUGGAACAGGCCCAUUUAGCGCGUCGUCAUGUGGAGCGAAACAAUCGACUUGAGAGGAUCACGGUUUCUUAUUUUACCGAUAGAAAGGUGGCCCGCGCUUGCCGCUUUCCCUUGGGCUGCGCAGGUGGAAGGCAACGACAAACAAACGGAAUGAAGUGCACCACGGAAAAUAGCACGUGAAACGGCUUUGUUCCAGUGAACCAAGUGGCUCUGAUGUAUGAAAAACAGAGAGGGAUUAGCGAAGGGUUUCUUGUGACGGACAGAAGCACUCGAAAAACGGGUCGAGUGUUCAAACUGGCAACAUUCGAGAAAACUUCGUCUCUACAGCGUAGUUCGGUUGUCGCCGCAGCAGAGACGGUGUUCGUGGAUUUGUUGUUACCAGCGCAGUCGACUUUCUGACAGUUAAUUUCACCGAAGUCUGUGGGGUUUUUCGGGUUCCCUUUUCAGGCGAAACAUGGAUAGAAACAUUUUUCGAGAUGCAGUUUUUCUACCCACGCUUUGGCAUCACCAAGGGGACCAGAAAACGGCUAGAGAGAGUGUGUUGUUGAAGUAGCGCAUACCCUCCGGUCGACUUUCGUCUGCCCCACCAAUUCUCAUCAUGGGCGUGGUCAAAGUAACACAGAAUCGGAUCUCUGGUUCUUCAGGUCCAGGUUCGUCGCGUCCCUUCGACGGAAACGGGGGCGUGAAAGUGUAGAUAACACCGUCAGGCGUGUAUCUCUUCGUCCAGAGGCGCCGGAGAUUUUUCUUUCUCUUGUACUUCUUGAACAAGUCCUCGUAGUCGACAGACUCCUCCUUACAUUCCUCGCCGUCGAAGAGGAAAACUCGUUGAUUCAAAGGAUUCGUCUUGCCCACGCGAGGCGCAAAUACCAUUUUUCGGCUUUUGUCGAUAACCUGAAGUUGCUCGCCUUUUACCAGGUACACGUCGCGCCGCACGUCGCCGAGUGUAAGUCCAUACUUCCCAAUCUUGACAACCUCAACCCGGGGGACGUUCUGUGCCAGCGCCGAGGACGGCGAGUUUGAUGCAUUGGGAUGCAGCGAGAGAAAGCUUAGUGGAACGCCGGAUGCCAGAAAAAGAACCAGAAGUGUGAACUUGAGUGAAACUUCCUUCUGUCGCUCGGCAGAGACCAUCGUGUCAAAGAUACUGCAAUGAAGUUGCCGAAUCGCUGAAUGGACACCAAAAGUAGAAUUUAACAUCAGAGGUUCCGUACCUGGUCGGCAGGCCGUGUCAUGCUAACAAACGCAAGGAAAGGCGUUCAUUUCCUCGGUCCCCAAAGCCGGAGAUACCCACUCAUUUCACACUUGCAAACUACGUAAAAAAACGAAGACUGGUGCUUGAAUCAACAAAGUCGGACGAAAGUGUCCUUUCUUUUAGCAACGCAGCUUCACUGUUAUACAGCCACUUUACCCGGUGGGUUUUUCCUACAGGAACUGCACCAGUACAGUGAACACGGUGUAGCCUUCAACUUCAGAAUGUCGUACCUCAAUGAAGGCAUCGCAACUCCCGGUAUUGUUGCCCGAUUUUCUACGACCUCCGCUGUCUCUGCUUUCUGUAGUUUUGUUGUUCCCAAAUUAGACGCUGGGGUUGCUGAGUUCUCCCAAACUCUUCAUUUCCAUUGAUCUCUCAUACGUGUACGGGGGGAGACGACGAAGAACGUGAAUUGUUCACUACAGUAACGUGCGACUAAGUGCCAGUCCAACAACUGUCUACGAAGCAGUGUCGUUUUACUCAAGCAGACAAAAGAGUGAAGAGCGGGAGUCCGGCCAAAGCUUUGCUGUAGCCAGGAAGAAUGCCACGCGCGUCCGAGUGGUUACCGCUAAAGAAAUGCAGGCAGUCGUAUAUGUACAAGUCCUUCCCUCUACGCACAUGCACGCGCAUAUACAUGUAUAAGUUUGCGUGCUCAAAUAGGAUUGCUCGUUUCCUUGGAAAUCAUUCUCCUGGAGGAAGGUUUGGAAAUGACUAGUACACUGUUGUAGAACCGGAAUCAAGGAAAGGGGUGUUUUAGUUUCCUCGAACGCCUUGAUUUCCCUUUGAGUCCUAUCUUCGAGUGUUGAUUUAUCAGGAAGCGAGUCACAAUUACCUAUUUCUGAUGCGAAAAACCGGUGUUACUGCAUGCACCGAGCGCAAGUAGCAUCACGCGUCGUUUGAGAAGAACAAAUUUGCACAUGUGAAAAAGGCAUGCUUCCGCAAAGCAAACACUGUUCGUCUAUGUUGAAAGAGUUGCACCAGAAAAAGUUGUCUCGUCAAAAACUGGAACCCACUCGUGCGCCAACCGCGAUGACAUUGUGGGACCGUAUAAUCACCACCUCGGCUGUCAACAGCCGAAAAAGACGAAGGUAUGUGUUGACAAAGAUAAUCCGGUGGUUGUACUGAGAACGCGUUAAAAGCUGAGGGCGAUGGAACAUUGUUACAGCGCUGUCAGCGCUAGGCAGAUCGCGGCGUGAUAAAGAAACGAGACUCUAUGUCGUAGAAUCUUAC